GUACCUCGGAGCCUCUCCAGUAAGCUGAUGACAGGCAGAUCUUCCACUCUCUGCCCUGUCAGGUUCUGGAAACUUACCCGUGAACUUAGGUCUUUGGGCAGCAGCAUUAUCUCGAACUUACACAGCGUCCCGAACAAAAGACCUAAGCCAAACUCCACAAAGGGCGGCAGCCCCUCCAUCACACUGAUCCACCCACAGAAUUCUGCCCAGUUACCUUGGAUCCACCAGCCACAACAAGUCUCGCGGUACACACCAAGAUUCCACCUAGAAUCCAACCGGUUUUCUGAGGCCUCAUUCUGUCCUUGGAAGUAAGAGACCACUCUUCGGCAAGUGUCCUGGACUAUGGGCUGGACGUCAGGAAUCUUGGACCCGUUCUUGGAGCAGAGAAUUGAGUACCUUCCUCAAGUGCACGUAGGUGUUCCACAGGUUUCUGCCAUUAUCAGCGAGGCUCAAUAUAUCUCGUGAUUUUCUUUCUUGCCUGGGAUCCUCUGCAGAAGUCUCCAUGCCAGUAUUCUCCAUUGUAGGAGAACAACCAUCAUCAAUGUGUUCGCAUCUCUCCUCAAUCCAUGCAGCCAAAUUUUCUGCCAGGUUCUCUUCAUGUCUCCCAUAAAGUCGACUUCUACAGGACUGGGCAUGUCUAAAAGUACCUCGGAGCCUCACCAGUAAGCUGAUGACAGGCAGAUCUUCCACUGUCUGACUUUUCAAUUUCUAGAAACUGACCCAUGAUCUCAGGCCAGUGGGCAGCAACAGUAUCUCGAACUUACAGAGCUUCCUAAACAAUAGACUUAAGCCAAGCUCCACAGAGUGUGGCAACCCCACCAUGACACUGAUUCACCCACCGAGCUCUGCCAAGUUACCUUGGAUCCACCAGCUCAUAACAAGCCUCAUGGAACAAACCAACAUUCCACCUGGAAUCUAACCAGUAACUGCCAUCCUCAAUUGUUGCUGCAUUUUUACAGUGUUGGUGAAGUGGCUGCAUCAGACGACAGGUAUUUAAGGUUUUCUGAGGCAUCAUUCUGUCUUUGGAAGUAAGAGACCACUCUUUGUCAAGUGUCCUGGACCAUGGGCUGGCCAGCCUUUCUGCCAGCUUCUCUUCGUGUCUCCCAUAAAGUCGACUUCUACAGGACUGGUUUCUAGAAAAUGACCCGUGAUCUCAGGCCAUUGGGCAGCAUCAGUAUCUCGAAAUAACACAUCUUCCUGAAGAAUACACCUAAGCCAAGCUCCACAGAGGGCAGCAGCCCCUCCAUGACACUGAUUCACCCACAGAGCUCUGCCCAGAUACCUUGGAUCCACCAGCCUCAACAAGCCUUGUGGAACACACAACAAUUCCACCUGGAUUCAAACCGGUUUUCUGAGGCCUCAUUCUCUUUUGGAACUAAGGGACCACUCUUCAGCAUGUGUCCUGAACCAAGGGCUUCACGUCAGGAAUCUUGGACCACUUCUUGGAGCAGAGAAUUGAGUACCUUCCUCAAGUAAACGUUGACCCUCCACAGGUUUCUGCUAGUAUCAGUGAGGCUCAACAUGACUCAUGAAAGUCUUUCAAGCCUGGUAUUCUCUAAAGAAGUCUUCAUGCCAGUAUUCUCUAUUGUAGCAGAACAACUCUCAUCAAUGUGUUCGCACGUUUCCUCAAUCUGUGCAGCCAGGUUUUCUGCCAGCUUCUCUUCGUGUCUCCAUUAAAGUCGACUUCUACAGCACUGGGCAAGUCUGAAAGUACCUCACAGCCUCACCGGUAUGCUGAUGAUGGGCAGAUCUUCCACAGUCUGUCUUUUCAGUUUCUUGAAACUGACCCGUGAUCUCAGGCCAUUGGGAAACAGCAGUAUCUCGAACUUACAAAUCUUUCUGAAAUUAGACCUAAGCCAAGCUCCACAGAGGGUGGCAGUCCCUUCAUGACACUGAUCCACCCACAGAGCUCUGUCCAGUUAACUUGGGUCCACCAGCCACAACAAGCCUGGUUGAACACACCAAUAUUCCAUCUGGAAAGCAACCAGUAACUGCCAUCUCUAAUAUUUGCUGCAUCUUUCCAGUGUUGGGGGAGGGGCUGCAUCAGACGAGAGAUUCCUAAGAUAAAAGUGAUUCUCUCCAAUAGCGUCCCAUGGUCCUUUUUUUCCUACCCUCUUUCCUUUAGUUCAGAACUCUAUACACAGUACAAAAUAGGGAAGUGUGUUCAUGUUAAUUUUAUGGUUCCACACAUCUUUAACUUUUCUCACAGUUAAAAGUACAAAAAGACCCCACUAUAGGAAUCUUAUGUUUGUGUAAUAGCCUUUCACCCAGAAUACACAUCCGUCUGUUGCUUUUCGGCUGAAACACCCACAUUCCCAGAAAAUGGAUCCAUUUGAU